rnacentral:ncRNA from 1 species
AGAAAUGAUAAUCCAAGAAGUGGAAUGAUAGGGUAACGCCUUGAAACGCUUCCCCUGAUACUCCGAUUGGCAGAACUGAGAAAUUAGUUUUGUCAAAAGCUCGGUGAAGUCGGCUGAGAGAUACCGUAAUCUGCGCAAGCGGAACGAAAGCUGUUCAGAGGUGAACAGUGUAUCCUAUAGGUCGGGGGUCUACAAA